rnacentral:rRNA from 1 species
UACGUAGGGCGCAAGCGUUGUCCGGAAUUAUUGGGCGUAAAGAGCUCGUAGGCGGUUGGUCGCGUCUGCCGUGAAAACCCAUGGCUUAACUGUGGGCUUGCGGUGGAUACGGGCCGACUUGAGGUAGGUAGGGGAGAAUGGAAUUCCCGGUGUAGCGGUGAAAUGCGCAGAUAUCGGGAGGAACACCGGUGGCGAAGGCGGUUCUCUGGGCCUUACCUGACGCUGAGGAGCGAAAGCGUGGGGAGCGAACAGG